AUACGUAGGGGGCAAGCGUUGCUCGGAAUUACUGGGCGUAAAGGGUCCGUAGGCGGCGGGGCGUGUCGGUUGUGAAAUCUUCCGGCUUAACUGGGAGGGUGCGACCGAAACUGUUCCGCUCGAGGGCCGGAGAGGCGAGUGGAAUUGCUGGUGUAGCGGUGAAAUGCGUAGAGAUCAGCAGGAACACCGGAGGCGAAGGCGGCUCGCUGGACGGCACCUGACGCUGAGGGACGAAAGCUAGGGGAGCAAACAGGAUUAGAUACCCCAGUAGUCC
rnacentral:rRNA from 1 species